AGGAGACGCUGGCGGCGUGCCUAACACAUGCAAGUCGAGCGGAGUCGAUCGACGGAAGCCUUCGGGCGGAAGAUGGUUGACUUAGCGGCGGAUGGGUGAGUAACGCGUGGGCAACCUGCCUCGAAGACCGGGAUAACAGCCCGAAAGGGCUGCUAAUACCGGAUGUGGUCAAGGAUCCGCAUGGAUUUUUGAUUAAAGGGGAAACCCGUUUCGAGAUGGGCCCGCGUCCUAUCAGCUAGUUGGUGAGGUAAAAGCUCACCAAGGCGACGACGGGUAGCCGGCCUGAGAGGGUGACCGGCCACACUGGAACUGAGACACGGUCCAGACUCCUACGGGGGGCAGCAGUGGGGAAUCUUCCACAAUGGGCGAAAGCCUGAUGGAGCGACGCCGCGUGAGCGAAGAAGGCCUUCGGGUUGUAAAGCUCUGUCUGGAGGGACGAAGGAAGUGACGGUACCUCCGGAGGAAGCCACGGCUAACUACGUG
rnacentral:rRNA from 1 species